AGUGAACGCUGGCGGUAGGCCUAACACAUGCGAGUCGAACGGCAGCGCAGUAAGAGCUUGCUCUUACGGGUGGCGAGUGGCGGACGGGUGAGGAAUACAUCGGAAUCUACUUUUUCGUGGGGGAUAACGUAGGGAAACUUACGCUAAUACCGCAUACGACCUACGGGUGAAAGCAGGGGAUCUUCGGACCUUGCGCGAUUGAAUGAGCCGAUGUCGGAUUAGCUAGUUGGCGGGGUAAAGGCCCACCAAGGCGACGAUCCGUAGCUGGUCUGAGAGGAUGAUCAGCCACACUGGAACUGAGACACGGUCCAGACUCCUACGGGAGGCAGCAGUGGGGAAUAUUGGACAAUGGGCGCAAGCCUGAUCCAGCCAUACCGCGUGGGUGAAGAAGGCCUUCGGGUUGUAAAGCCCUUUUGUUGGGAAAGAAAAGCAGCGGGUUAAUACCCCGCUGUUCUGACGGUACCCAAAGAAUAAGCACCGGCUAACUUCGUG
rnacentral:rRNA from 1 species